GAUGAAGAACGUAGCGAAAUGCGAUAAGUAGUGUGAAUUGCAGAAUUCCGUGAAUCAUCGAAUCUUUGAACGCACAUUGCGCCUUCUGGUAUUCCGGAAGGCAUGCCUGUUCGAGAGUCAUUAACAACCGUUUCGAUCCCUUUCUUUCAGAAAUUACAAAGAGGAAAAGGGUUUGGUUAUGGUGGAGGAGGGAAAGGGAGCGUUUAGCCUGUACAAAAAGAGGCUGUGUUCCGCCUCCCCCCCAAAAUUGUACAGGCGGUCGUGUGCGCCCACGCAUCGAGGUGUUGUAAAAGCUGCCACGGCACUUUUCACCUGUGCAGUGCGAGAUUGGCCAGCCGGUUUAAAAACCCCUCCAAACAAUCAAAGGUUGACCUCGGAUCAGUUAGGGAUACCCGCUGAACUUAAGCAUAUCAAUAAGCGGAGGA
rnacentral:misc_RNA from 1 species